CCCCAGAGAAGAAAAUGUGUCUCAGAGACCUGCAGGAUACGGAAGCAAUUGGAAAAGCAAGGAAUUUGUGAGAGCCACCUGAUUCUGUUUGCAGUGCAGGCAAUGUGCUAGUGACCAAAGACACUGAUCGGCACUAAAAUCUGCGAUUCCAAGACAAAAGUCUCUUCUACAACCUCAUGCCAAAAUCUGUGCAGGGGACAAUGCUUGUAUGGAAGCCACAUUUACAAAAUUUAGAAUAAAAAAGCAUGAAGACAAAAUCCUGGAACAACUCAACAGGUCCCUGUAUUAGUUAAGGUAAGUCCUCUGUAGGCUCUCCUAAAGAAAGAAAUUUAUUCCAAGAACAACUUGGGCCAGAUUACUAACAGCUGUGGCCUGACUUUGUUUUGAAAACUCAGUUUUCCUUGUCAGGUAAACUUUUCCUGUCAGGCAAGCUUUGGCCAUCUCUUUCCAAUCUCUGGAGUAUAACUUCUAAAUCCAUAUACUCUAGCAGCGUGUGU